rnacentral:lncRNA from 1 species
AGUUGCUACUAUUCUAAUCGCAAAGUCAAGAGUUCCUUCUUUUCUUAGCUGCCUUCAGUGCCACAGAACUAUCUGGGCCUCUUCCUCUACCCCUCCUUGUGUGAUCGCUCCUUUCAAAAGCAACAGCCAAAGCAGAUGCAAGGGAGAUGCAUUGGUGCUCAUAAAUUCAAGGAGCUGAAAUGGCAACAGCUGUGGCAAUUUCAGGAUUUCAGCAGGUAAUCAAUGCAAACUGGGGUGCUGUCAAGCAGCCUGGUGCUUAAAGGGCAGAGCCAGGAUGGACCCAGAUUCUGGUUUCCACCAUGUGCCUGAUGGAUACCAUGCGGAUGUGGAGCAGGAAACACUGGGUGCAAAUCCCCACCAGGAACUGUUCAUCCUGAAAAAAACCUGCUGCACAUUGCCCUGGUCACCUCAACGAAAAAUGGGUCAAAAUCAAAGUUGAUGAUCAGUCAUAUGAUCUUCAGCAGCCCUGGAAGGGUGUGAGUUCUCGGCAUCCCAUGCAGGAGCUCUGAAUGUACAAGAGGUGCUGAGGAGGGAGCAUGCGCCGGUGCCAAACGCUGGAUGACCUCACUAUCCUCAUGGAAAAGGAGGUGAAUACCACUGCCUUCUUUCUGUGUCCAAGCAAGUUAUGACUGGAAUGGAAAGUAUAGCCACCCGGGGCUGUCAGUACCCCUACCUACUCAAUUGCAGACAUGUUGAUACAGAACAUGAUCAUCGAAUUCCAGUGAAGCCACAGUGAUGGGAGUCCAGCAAGAGUAAAAGCAAGUAGAAGGAAGAAGCCCAGAAAAACCAAAGCGCCUAAGGCCCAUGAAAGCUGUAAUGACUCCUUACCAUGAAGACAUAAGUGAUCCUUAAAUUUGCUAAUGAAG